CUCCUGAGUCCCCGAUGCAGCCCCCAAUGAGCCCCCAGUAUUUUCCUUAUAUGAUCGGGCCCUUUGUGGGCGGCGCCGCUUGCCCGGGCCUGAGAGGAUUAUAAGACGGUGCCUGGCGAAGUGGGGUCCGGGGGACUUGGAG